AACGAACGCUGGCGGCGCGCCUAAUACAUGCAAGUCGAGCGAGAAGACGUAGCAAUACGUUUGUAAAGCGGCGAACGGGCGAGGAAUACAUGGGUAACCUACCCUCGAGUGGGGAAUAACUAGCCGAAAGGUUAGCUAAUACCGCGUACGCUCCUUGGACUUCGGUUCAGGGAGGAAAGCGAUACCGUGGGUAUCGCGCUCUUGGAUGGGCUCAUGUCCUAUCAGCUUGUUGGUGAGGUAACGGCUCACCAAGGCUUCGACGGGUAGCUGGUCUGAGAGGACAAUCAGCCACACUGGCACUGCGACACGGGCCAGACUCC
rnacentral:rRNA from 1 species